rnacentral:rRNA from 1 species
AUGGACUAUCAACCACUUAUCUCUGCGCUUGAUGUCCGCACCGAGCCCAUCACGGUGGAUCUUCUCUUGUCCCUGGUGGCCAACUUCGACCAGCGGGUCGAGUUAUAUCAUGGCAAUGGUUCUGGUGGCUUCAAGUCUUCAGCAAACUUGGCCUCGCGAGGACGACAGGGAGGUAAAGGUGGCUACUGCAACCAGAAA